rnacentral:lncRNA from 1 species
AGGAGGGAAACCAGAAGAGCCCCCCAGGCUCGCCAGUUGUUUGUUGGCUCCCUACAAACAUGUCAUUCAAGUGGCUAAUCUUACAACAGCACAAAUUCAUCUAACCAGAAAGAGAAGAGGAGGCUCCAAAGGCACUUGACUACUGAGCAUCACCCUGGACGUGUACAAGUCUGCGUCCUUAUUGUUUUCUUCAUUGGGCCGAACUUUCUGGUCCUCAUCCAACAGCUCUUCUAUCACGUGUUCGAAAGUGUCAGCCAACGAUGUCAAGCCUCUUGAACCUGCCUUGGGCCCAUUCACGCUCUCCAGAGUCCCAUGGGUCCGCACACCUGGGUAGGCCAAGCCACCUUGUCCUCGGAUGUUUGCUUCUUUCAUGGGGGCAGCCUUCAUGCAACCAAAGUAUGAAAUAACCAUAGUAAGGAAAAGGAUGGUCAUCACUCUUCUCACCUGGUGGAAC